CCUAACUAUUUUCUCCCCCGCCCACCGCCGCCACCACUCUCGAGACCUAAUUAUCUUCUCCUCCAACCUCAACCACCAAUAUUCUCUAGAUCUAACCAUCUUCUCCUCCACCCUUCACCGCCACCACCACUCUUUAGACCUAACAAUCUUCUCCUCCACCCUUCGCCGCCACCACCACUCUUUAGACCAAACAAUCUUCUCCUCCACCGCAACCACGAACAUUCUCUAGAUCUAACUAUCUUCUCCUCCACCCACUUCUGCCACCGCCACUCUCUUGAUAUGUUUGCCCUCAUAAUUAUGAUCCAUCAUCUAUGUUUUCCUCUUAGUUCAGAUCUGUGGUAUUCCAAGGCACCUACGCGCUACACCAUUCGCGUAUUGCCGACGAACCACAGUCGCUGCCCAACUAUUAGGCCAUGCUCCAUUUACAUCUCGAACUAAGACGACGAGAUCCAAAGUGAAAGGAUUCUGCGGAAAUCUCAUUAUUCAAGUGCAGUAAGCGCGUUAAGAUGCCACGUUUGAAACGGAGAAGACGAGGUCUAAAAUCCAAGGCUUCUACGAAAAUCUUAUUGUUCAAGUGCACUAAGUGCGUUAAGACUCCACUUUUGGAACGGAGAAGACGGAUCUAAAAUCAAAGGUUCCGUGAAAAUAUCAUUGUUCAAGUGUAGUAAGUCCAUUAUGAUGCCACUUUUGGAGCGGAGAAGAAGAAAUCUAGAAUCAAAGGCUUCUGCGAAAAUCUCAUUAUUGUUCAAGUACAGUAAGUGUGUUAAGAUACCACUUUUGGAACGGAGAAGAAGAGGUCUAAAUUCAAAGGCUUUCGUGAAAAUCGCAUUGUUCAAGUGUAGUAAGUGCUUUGAGAUGCCACUUUUGGAACGGAGAAUACGAUGUCUAAAGUCAAAGGAGAAAAAUCAGAGAUGGGAGGAAAAAAUCAAAGAGGAGAAGGAAAGAGUGGGACGUAUAUAAGGAAAGUUGAACGAAAAAGAGGUGAAAUGAGAACCUUACGUUCUUUUUAAGUAAGUAGAGAAGAUAGAUAUUUUAUUGUUAAGUACUUAUUUGCUAAGAAUUUAAUGGCUUACCAAACAGAAUAUGUUUUUCUUAUGGUAAGUUAAUAAAACAUGGAACAAUUGAUUCUAUUUUUAGGGAGAAUUGAUAGGAUAAAAAUCACAAAUGGGAGGGAAAAAUCAAAGAGGAGAAGAAAAGAGUGAGAUGUAUAUAAAAAAAUUGGAUGAAAAAGAGGUGAAAUGAAAAUCUUACGUUCUUUUGAAGUAGUUGAGAUAUACCAAUAUAAAAGACCCAAAAGGACGUAUCAAAUCAAUCUUGACCAUCAAACCAGUUCAAUCAACGACCUAGAUUGCCCCAAGGAUCCGGCUUGCUUGCUCCCUCCCCAUGCUCCCAUCCGUGCUCCCACCUCAUCCUACGGCUGUCUUUUUUCCUUUUUCCUUUCUAAUCUAAUCAUCUCCCCCCUGAUUUUAAGGGGGUGAGGCCGGGCCUUAUUUUGUUCCAAUCAAAU